rnacentral:rRNA from 3 species
GAAACGACUGCUAAGACUGGAUAGGAGACAAGAAGGCAUCUUCUUGUUUUUAAAAGACCUAGCAAUAGGUAUGCUUAGGGAGGAGCUUGCGUCACAUUAGUUAGUUGGUGGGGUAAAGGCCUACCAAGACUAUGAUGUGUAGCCGGGCUGAGAGGUUGAACGGCCACAUUGGGACUGAGACACGGCCCAAACUCCUACGGGAGGCAGCAGUAGGGAAUUUUCGGCAAUGGAGGAAACUCUGACCGAGCAACGCCGCGUGAACGAUGAAGUAUUUCGGUACGUAAAGUUCUUUUAUUAGGGAAGAAUAAAUGAUGGAAAAAUCAUUCUGACGGUACCUAAUGAAUAAGCCCCGGCUAACUAUGUGCCAGCAGCCGCGGUAAUACAUAGGGGGCAAGCGUUAUCCGGAAUUAUUGGGCGUAAAGGGUGCGUAGGCGGUUAAAUAAGUUUAUGGUCUAAGUGCAAUGCUCAACAUUGUGAUGCUAUAAAAACUGUUUAGCUAGAGUAAGAUAGAGGCAAGUGGAAUUCCAUGUGUAGUGGUAAAAUGCGUAAAUAUAUGGAGGAACACCAGUAGCGAAGGCGGCUUGCUGGGUCUUUACUGACGCUGAGGCACGAAAGCGUGGGGAGCAAACAGGAUUAGAUACCCUGGUAGUCCACGCCGUAAACGAUGAGUACUAAACGUUGGGUAAAACCAGUGUUGAAGUUAACACAUUAAGUACUCCGCCUGAGUAGUACGUACGCAAGUAUGAAACUUAAAGGAAUUGACGGGACUCCGCACAAGCGGUGGAUCAUGUUGUUUAAUUCGAAGGUACCCGAAAAACCUCACCAGGUCUUGACAUGCUUCUGCAAAGCUGUAGAAACACAGUGGAGGUUAUCAGUUGCACAGGUGGUGCAUGGUUGUCGUCAGCUCGUGUCGUGAGAUGUUGGGUUAAGUCCCGCAACGAGCGCAACCCUUAUUGUUAGUUACCAGCACGUAAUGGUGGGGACUUUAGCAAGACUGCCAGUGAUAAAUUGGAGGAAGGUGGGGACGACGUCAAAUCAUCAUGCCCCUUAUGACCUGGGCUACAAACGUGAUACAAUGGCUGUUACAAAGGGUAGCUGAAGCGCAAGUUUUUGGCGAAUCUCAAAAAAACAGUCUCAGUUCGGAUUGAAGUCUGCAACUCGACUUCAUGAAGUUGGAAUCGCUAGUAAUCGCGAAUCAGCAUGUCGCGGUGAAUACGUUCACGGGGUUUGUACACACCGCCCGUCA